AUCCGAUUGAAACGUUCCCCACACACAUAUCACAAAUAUCGAUUCCAUUAUCUGCUCAAUAAUUUGUUUUGCACAAUCGAUGGAUGUUCAUACUGGAAAUCGGAACUAGGAUAAUGAAGAUCAGAAUCCCAGGAAAGAUAUGGGUAAUAUCAAUGAUCCAAACAAUCUUGUGAAUGAUGUUGUGAAGGAAAAAAGAAGAUGUAAAAUAUGCUUUGGAUUUGGUCAUGAUAGCAGGAACUGUCCUUUUGGAUUGAAGAAAACAUAUAACUACAAGAAAUUCAUCAAAUUUGAUGUUUUUAGAUAUUAUUAUGUUUGAUUUGGGUUAAAUAAAAGUAUGUUAUGAUGAA